GACAGAGGGUGCAAACGUUGCUCGGAAUUACUGGGCGUAAAGCGCGUGUAGGCUGACCGGAAAGUCGGGCGUGAAGCCCUGGGCUCAACCCAGGAACUGCACUCGAAACUCCCGGUCUAGAGUGGUGGAGAGGGAAGUGGAAUUCCUGGUGUAGAGGUGAAAUUCGUAGAUAUCAGGAGGAACACCAGUGGCGAAGGCGGCUUCCUGGACACCAACUGACGCUGAGACGCGAAAGCGUGGGGAGCAA
rnacentral:rRNA from 1 species